rnacentral:rRNA from 1 species
UCUACGGGUGGCAGCAGUGGGGAAUAUUGCACAAUGGGCGCAAGCCUGAUGCAGCCAUGCCGCGUGUGUGAAGAAGGCCUUCGGGUUGUAAAGCACUUUCAGCGGGGAGGAAGGCGGUGAGGUUAAUAACCUCAUCGAUUGACGUUACCCGCAGAAGAAGCACCGGCUAACUCCGUGCCAGCAGCCGCGGUAAUACGGAGGGUGCAAGCGUUAUUCGGAAUUACUGGGCGUAAAGCGCACGCAGGCGGUCUGUCAAGUCGGACGUGAAAUCCCCGGGCUCAACCUGGGAACUGCAUUCGAAACUGGCAGGCUAGAGUCUUGUAGAGGGGGGUAGAAUUCCAGGUGUAGCGGUGAAAUGCGUAGAGAUCUGGAGGAAUACCGGUGGCGAAGGCGGCCCCCUGGACAAAGACUGACGCUCAGGUGCGAAAGCGUGGGGAGCAAACAGGGUUAGAUACCCCGGUAGUC